CUUGUUCAUCCGAAAGUGGUAGGUAGUAGAUACGAGGGGUGGCUCUUGUCUUCCUAAACAGAUCAUCCAAUGUAACAAUUGGAGGAUCAACUGGUGGUGGAGGAAGGGCGGCAACCUCCCUUACUGGUGGCGGAGGUGGUGGAGGAAGCUGCUGUGGUUGUUUCUGAACAUGUAGUCGAGGGGAGGGAUAUUGCGGCUGCAUGGCGGCUAGAGCUGGUGGAGGAGGAAGCUGCUGCUGCUGUUGUUUCUGAACGUGUAGUCGAGGAGAGGGCUGCGGUGGUUGCAUGGUGGUGGCUGGAGGUGGUGGUGGUGGUGGGUCGACCCGAUUCUUAACCUCUUGUGGAUCCACAAAAUCAGCCAUUAACAGGCGUCCACCAUUCACUGGCCACUGUAGGUUGC
rnacentral:lncRNA from 1 species